GGGCGGAUAGCUCAGUUGGGAGAGCGCAGCCCUUACAAGGCUGAGGUCACAGGUUCAAUCCCUGUUCCGCCUACCG
rnacentral:tRNA from 1 species